GCCCUUACGGGAGGCAGCAGCAAGGAAUUUUCGGCAAUGGGCGCAAGCCUGACCGAGCAACGCCGCGUGCGGGAUGACGGCCUUCGGGUUGUAAACCGCUUUUCGGGGGGACGACCCUGACGGUACCCCCGGAANAAGCCCCGGCUAACUCUGUGCCAGCAGCCGCGGUAAGACAGAGGGGGCGAGCGUUGUCCGGAGUCACUGGGCGUAAAGCGCGCGCAGGCGGCAACCUAAGUGUCGUGUGAAAGCCCCCGGCUCAACCGGGGGAGGCCAUGGCAAACUGGGUCGCUCGAGCUGCGGAGAGGCCCCUCGAAUUGCCGGUGUAGCGGUGAAAUGCGUAGAGAUCGGCAGGAAGACCAAGGGGGAAGCCAGGGGGCUGGCCGCAGGCUGACGCUGAGGCGCGACAGCGUGGGGAGCAAACCGGAUUAGAUACCCGGGUAGUCCACGCCGUAAACGAUGACCACUCGGCGUGUGGCGACUAUUGACGUCNNGNCUNGCNCUANUUNACNCANUAAGUGGUCCNCCUGGGAANUACAANCGCAAGCUUAAAANUCAAAGGAAUUGACGGGGGCCCGCACAAGCAGCGNACCGUGUGNUUUAAUUCNACNCACCCCGAAGAACCUUACNCAGACUGGAACAUGACCUUGCNCACGGCGNAAANCUCNUCCCCUGCAAGGGUCCUUCNCAGGUGCUGCAUGGCUGUCGUCAGCUNCGUGUNGUGANAUGUUGGGUUNAAGUCCCNGCAACNGAGCGCAACCCCCUGCGGUUAGUUAUCCCGUGUCUUAACCGGANUUGCCCCUUUUGNGCANGGAAGGCGAAGGAUGACAUCAAGUCCCA
rnacentral:rRNA from 1 species